UACGAAGGGGGCUAGCGUUGCUCGGAAUUACUGGGCAUAAAGGGUGCGUAGGCGGCUUGUUAAGUCAGGGGUGAAAGUUUUCGGCCCAACCGGAAAAUUGCCUUUGAUACUGGCGAGCUCGAGUGCGUGAGGGGUAACCGGAACGAGCAGUGUAGCGGUGAAAUGCGUAGAUAUUGCUCGGAAGGCCAACGGCGAAGGCAGGUUACUGGUACGCAACUGACGCUGAGGCACGAAAGCGUGGGGAGCAAACAGG
rnacentral:rRNA from 1 species